UUCAACAGUAAUAAUAAAUCCUAUUAUUUCCUUAAAAAAAAAAUCCAAUUAUUGUACAUAAAUAUCUCCUCCUUUUCUUUUCAUGGUACAAUAGAGAAAUUAUUUUCAUCUUCCUUUUUUGACCCACAUUAUUCCUCAUUCUUUUUCUCUUGCUGUCCUCCACUUUCUUCCAAGUUCCACAACGACAUCAACUCCAACAAAUUCAAACCUCUCCUCAAUCAAUACCAACAAGCCCCACAUUUCAAAGAAAUGAGCCUUAAUAUUCACCACUUGUGACUUGUGAGUAUGAUAUAUAACUACUGAGGAUAAAACAGCUUAGCAAAUAGAAGCUCAUUCCAAGUAUCUUGAAGGCCAGGUAAACACCAAUGCGCACAAUCUGCAUAGCUAACAGGUUUAGCUAUCUGCUCAGGAGUCAAUGGAUUCCAUUGCUUUUUGUAGAUAGAAGUGUGUGCAUCUUUUCUAUAACUUGAUAGUUGAGUAAUGUUCAGAAAUGAUAUGGGGAAUUUUGAUUUCCCGAACUCUUCUCUGAUCACUUCCAUUAUGCUUUUCUGGCAAUCAGAACUCCAGUAAGUUGCAUCAUCAAUCAAAGUUGUUUCAUUGUAACAGUUGAGACCCGGUUGGCCUCCCCAAUCUAUGCUCCUGAAGAAACAUCAAACAUUACGUUGGGGUCGAGCGAAGUAAAUGGCCCAUGGGAAAGAGCGAGAGCUUCCCUUUUUUGUAUGGCUUGUAAAAAUGGACAAAAUCAAAAAGAAAAAUCAAGAAAUUGUGAGUCUAAUUUACUUACUUUCCAUGAGAAGGUGACAUGCUGGUGAAGAAGACCCUAGUUUUCCUAGGAUUCAUAUUCUUUCUCACCCAUCUCAACAUGCUUCUCAUCGCCAUCCGGUAUGCGUCCUCGGUGGAUAACUCUACGAUAUCUUUCACUUCAUCUUUGAAAGAACCUUGCAAGAUUUUCAUAUUUUGGCCAGUCAUCCACCAUAGAUAAGUAUUGAAGACUAAAAUAUCAACUCCUUUCCAAUGUCUGCCAUGUUUGUUGAUUGAACCUUUCCUUACAAUCCUAUCAGAUAUCCUAUGGAUUACAGCAUUAUCUGAAUUUGAUUCAAGAAGAAAUGGUGCCCAGUAGAACUCAAUUGUGGCAUUGUACGCCUUGGCCGUGAAGACUGUAAGUGAAUCGAAGGUUUCCAUGGAUUUGGCAUCUUCAGGGAUGAGUCUAUGGAGAAGACAGACCAUGGAAACAUACUGGCCACGGUUCAAAGAAUCGCCAACAAACAUCAUUCUCUUUCCUCGUAGAGUUUCAAGCAUCAAUGUGGCAUUGAAACUUGGAAGAUUACAGCCAUGGGGUUGCCAUCUCCAUUUUUGAUACUCCUUAUCGGGCCUCCCAUGUUCUUGGCAAGUCAACUGCGGCUGAAUGUAAGGACACUCUGAUUCCUCGUAAAGUGGAUGAGUUGAUGACUCGUCCUUCACCCACCUCCCACUGAACACAUCACACCCUUCUGGGGUUUUCCCAAUGGCAAAAGGUAGCUUCUCCCACUUCUUCUCGGUUCUAGUUAAGAGGGUGCCGGAUUUGGGGUCGAGUCGGCCAAGAAGGCACAUGAAGUCUUCUCCAUAGAGAAUAGCAACGAAGAAAAUGAAAAAAAUUUUAGGUGGCAAUAUUGGCAAAAUCUAGCAAACCAAGCUUUCUAUUCUUUCAGACAGUCCUGAAAGAGUUAAUUCUUUUAUUUGUAGGGACUUGCUCCUGAAAUUUGCUGUUUACCUACUUGACCUUGAAGCAUUUCCAAACUGGGGAACUUUAUCUACUAAGAAAUAAUUGUCUAGCAAUAAUGUGCACAUCUAUAGCACUACUACAAUCUACAUAACUUACCUUUUAAUAUUUCGAUAUAGCAUUUAAAUUUGAGUUUAAUAACAUGAAAUAUGAUAAAGAAAAAUACUAAAGAAACUAUACUUCUUUUUUUAAGAAAACUACCAAAUACCAAACUUAGUGCUCUAUGAUAAUAACUUAUAUGUCUUGAGACAUUCGCACAAUCAAGAAGCAAAACAUUGUUGCAUAAAGAAUACUGAAGAAGAAAUAUCUCCAAAUCUCAAAUCCUUGUAGCCUUGUUCAUUGUUGGGUGAAGAACAAUAGGGACUAAUCAGCCAAAUGCCUGGUAGUUGUUGUAUGGAGAGAAGCCUUUUCUGCAUUAAGGUUUAAUUUUCAUUAUUGUUGAAGGG
rnacentral:misc_RNA from 1 species